UCCAGCUUCAUGCAGUAGGCCAGCGACUGGAGCCAGAUGUGAGCUGAGCCCAAGCGGACGACCUCGACAGGAUCCCAGAAAGGGUCGUCAUCUCGAGCCACAGGGCCGUGAUCUCCAUCUAGAAAGCGCUGGUAAAGUUCCUGCAUUAGGAAUUUCCUAUUGAUGAACUUGGCUUUUGACCAUAUCCACACCUGGAAACACAGAGGAAAGCAGAGAGACACAGUGUGAAAUCGCUGCUCUCAGAUCAGCACACGGGAGAGGCCAGCAGUCAGGAGGGGGCUCACCGAGUUUGUCUGCACUCGCUCCCUCCGCAGCCGCCCUCUCCAGCUGGAAGAAGUCGUAAUCGAACCUGCUCAGGUCCUCACUGCCCCACUCCGAAGGAAACCCCACGU
rnacentral:lncRNA from 1 species